rnacentral:rRNA from 1 species
CAGCAGCCACGGUAAUACGGAGGGAGCUAGCGUUGUUCGGAAUUACUGGGCGUAAAGCGCGCGUAGGCGGUUACUCAAGUCAGAGGUGAAAGCCCGGGGCUCAACCCCGGAACUGCCUUUGAAACUAGGUGACUAGAAUCUUGGAGAGGUCAGUGGAAUUCCGAGUGUAGAGGUGAAAUUCGUAGAUAUUCGGAAGAACACCAGUGGCGAAGGCGACUGACUGGACAAGUAUUGACGCUGAGGUGCGAAAGCGUGGGGAGCAAACAGGAUUAGAUACCCCUGUAGUCCCUGUCUCUUUACC